GAAUAGGCUCCCGGCAUUGCGAUGUUUUCUAAAAUUUUCUACAUUUCUGGAUAUCACUAUUACCGUUUUUGUUCACAAAUAAAUUUUAGAUACCAUAAAUGAUAAUUGAAACAAUGAAGUUAAAUUAUCUGAUGUCAAAUUUAGUGGUGUGCUCAGCCAAAUAUGUGAUAUAAUAUAUAAUAUCUUUUCGAAAUUAUGAAAUGCCUUUGGACCUCUGAUAUUUUCGGAUAAUUAUUUCGUUAGAAAAAUUUCGACAAUUUGCUAUGCCACUCAUGCAUAACCUGUCACCUGUCAGUUAAAACAAAACCAACUGAGACCUGAACCAACAAAAAUUAUUUCAAUGAUUGAUUUCUUACUGCCGUUGAUAUUUUCCAUAUUGACGCAAGGAGUCAUGGAUGAUGGAAAUUUUCAACGUCAAGGUCGAGGAUCAUCGAAGAGUGCGAUACAAAGGAGACAAUCAAAAUUUCGGCGUGCAUUCGUUGAGUUCGACCACGAAAAUUUUUUGGCUGGUGCCUGGCCAGGAAGACACAACGAUGGAGUGCGGGAGCGACAUGUGAAUGAUGGUCCCGAGGGAAUAAAUGUCGACUACGAUUCCGAAGAAUUGAUCGACAACUUCCAAAUUGGAGAUGAAGAUGAAAAUGAAAUUGUGGACAACUCACUCGAGAUAAGUUCUAAUGAUAGUGAAUCAAAACAAGAAGACCGGAGUCUACAGAGCGGAGAUUCCGCCACUGAAGAAAGUGAAGAAGAAGAGGACGAACAGGAAAGAGCGAACCGAAGAGGUGAUGAUUGGGAAUGCGCAAGUAUCGAAGAUGAAGAUGGUGAUACCGAGGAUGAUGAAAAUGAAGCUCAUAACAAUACUCCUUUCAUGCAAAGCUCAUUAAAUCAUUUGGACAAGCGGCUUAAUGUACAAGAUCACAUAACUGUGAAAGAUUAUUUCUUAGCUGGAUUAGCGAUGUCAAUGGCACAUAAAUGGACUUAUGAAGCAACAUUGGUAUAUUAUAAAUGGAUCGCUCGCACAACUCAUCACAGUGGUCUACCUACAACAAAAAAAGGUUUAUGGAAAGCUCUACAACGAAACGAUGAAACAGUUACGCGCCAGCUUUAUUGCCGAGAAUGCCGAAUUCCAGUUGGAGUAGGAAAAAUUGUUGAUAAAGAAUGUGAAUGUAAGCUGUGUGGACCUAAUGAAAGUCACAAACACGUUGCGUUUUUCUUUUCAGUUAGUAUGAAACAUCAAAUUGAAGAACUUUUCUGUGUACCCAAUGUAGUUCAAUUUUUGAAAUAUCGCUUUAAUCGACCUCACUCUAAUUGUAUGAGGGAUAUUUAUGACGGUACAGAAUAUAAAAAAUUAUGCGAGCUAGGCAAGUUUCUCCAUAACGAGUGGAAUUUCUCUUUCACAUUCAAUACUGAUGGAGCGUCCAUCUCGGAAUCUUCGUCUUUGAGUGCAUGGCCCCUUUUUGUUCAAAUUAAUGAAUUACCUCCUCACUUGAGGAAAAAACAUAUAUUACUUGCGGGUAUAUGGGUUGACAAACAAAAGCCACUACCAAACGCAUAUAUGUUACCAUUUACGCAACAAAUUAAUAAGUUAUACGUGGACGGCAUAACUUGGCAACCAUCGGUCGGGUACAACAUAAUUAGUAAAUUUAUACCGCUAAUUUUCUGCGCUGACUCUGGAGCGCGUUAUGAAUAUUUACGAAUGACUCAAUUCAAUGGUAAAUGGGGAUGCACUUUUUGCUAUCAUAAGGGUACAUUUAUCGCGGGAAUAAAAGGGUCAAAAUAUCCCGCUGACGAUACCUAUUCUCUCCGCACGGAUGCAUCAAUACGAGCUGAUGCCGUGGAAGCAUUAGAAAAUUAUCAACAAGGGAAAAGAGAUGUAAACAAUAUUAGGGGAGUGAAAGGGCCCUCCGCUCUAGGACUUCUCAAGGGUUUUGACUUAGGAAAAGGUUCUGUCGUUGACACUAUGCAUAAUAUAGCUGGUGUGGUAAAGCAUCAUCUUUUGAUGUUUCUAAAAGAUGUAGGAGAGGAGUGGUACAUUGGUGAGCCACAAAGUAGGCGAAAAAUUGAUAAAGUAAUGUUGUCGAUAAAAUUUCCUAGUCGGAUAUCAAGGAGAACGCGGGAGUUAAAAUACGUAAAUUCAUACAAAUGUUCAGAAUGGCGCAAUUUUGCAUAUUAUGGGUUAAUUUGUUUGGAAAAAAUUUUGCCUGAUAAAUAUCUAAAACAUUUAGCGUUGUUAUUUGAAGCUGUAUAUAUAUUAAAUGGCGAUUGUAUCAUUCUUGAUGACAUCGAUUAUGCUGAGAAUCUUUUAAAACGAUACGUGAUAAAUUUUGAUUUCUAUUUUGAAACUAAAAAAAUGACCUAUAAUAUCCACUUGCUAACACAUGUAUGUCAAACUGUCAGAAAUUGGGGCCCAAUGUGGGUCCACAAUGCAUAUCCAUUUGAAUCCAUGAACCGAAAGAUUAUUCAGGCAAUAACAAGUUCUAAUGGAGCAGUACUGCAAGUCUAUACCAGAUUUCUAAUGAACAAAUUCAUCCAAAAUUGUGCAUAUGAUAAAACAAUAUCUCAUGACACUAGGAAUUACAUUUCAGAACUUUUAAAUGUAGUACAUUAUGAUUACUCUAUUGAGCGUAACGAUAUCCGCAGCCAUCGCUUUGUUUGCUUAGGAAAAGGAAAUUGCAGACAGCCGUCUGAAAGCGAACGUGAUAUUAUCUGUCAAGCUGGAUAUGUUCCUGAAAAUUUCACAGUUUAUAAACAUGCUCGCAUCGAUGGGAUUGAUUAUAGAACACUUGAUUUUCGGACAACAACUAAUUUUUCCAAUUGUACCAUUUGUUACAAUGACGAGAAAUUCGGUGAUAUUUCUUCAAUAGUUAAUUUUUCGAAUGGGGACGAAAUUAUUAAUGGCCUCUUUGUAAAGCGGUUUCAAUAUCUUGGAAACGCCUGUAAUACAAGAUUCAUAAAAAAUGUGAGUCCCUGUGAUGAGCUAGUUUUAAUACAGGCCAGCAAUAUCACAGGCCCAGCGUUGAAAGUGGAUAGUGCUGAAGGAAUCCGUGUUAUGAAAUUGCCCAACGUAUGGGAAACUGAUUAAAUUCAAUGAUGUAGUUACACGAUGGAAGCAAAAAAAUGUAAUUUGGCAAAAAUCAAACUUAUUCUUAAUACCUAUUUUAUGAUCGGCGUAUUCAAACCAAUAUAUAAAAUUUGACAUUACUUACACA